rnacentral:tRNA from 1 species
AAAAACUUAGUUAACUCAUAACAUAAGCCUGUCAAACUUAAAUUAUUAUUUUUAUAAUAGUUUUUA